rnacentral:lncRNA from 1 species
GACAUGCAAUUAGGACCUGACAGGUUUCUUGGAUGCUUUUCAAUUCUGGAUCCACUGUGAACAAUUGAAUUGAAUAAUAGAGGUGGGUCGGGUUAAGAAAGACCUCAAAUUCAUUGAAAAAUAAUAGUUCUUGAUGGUUUUCUUGGAGAUUUUACCCAAAAAAAAAGUUAUCUAAAUCUUUAAAUCUCAGAGAAAAUUAAGGUAGAUGGAGAGAAAAUUGAACUUACAAUCUAAGCAGGCC